rnacentral:misc_RNA from 1 species
GAUGACGAACGUAGCGAAAUGCGAUAAGUAGUGUGAAUUGCAGAAUUCAGUGAAUCAUCGAAUCUUUGAACGCACAUUGCGCCCCUUGGUAUUCCAUGGGGCAUGCCUGUUCGAGCGUCAUUUGUACCUUCAAGCUCUGCUUGGUGUUGGGUGUUUGUCUCGCCUCUGCGUGUAGACUCGCCUCAAAACAAUUGGCAGCCGGCGUAUUGAUUUCGGAGCGCAGUACAUCUCGCGCUUUGCACUCAUAACGACGACGUCCAAAAGUACAUUUUUACACUCUUGACCUCGGAUCAGGUAGGGAUACCCGCUGAACUUAAGCAUAUCAAUAAGCGGAGGA